UCAGUGCUCUGGGGGUGUUUUAACCAGCUCGUGGGUGGUUUCCACGUCCACUAGAGUUUGAGACUCACUGGGCCAGCUCUCUUUUCCCAGUUUUCACUUUCAUUGGAAUCCCAACCACUCAAGGAGGUGGGUUUUAAUCUAUCUCCUAUCACUCCCCAUAACCCUGGGUAGAUCAGGUCAAAUCAUCUGCUUAUUAUAAAUCCAGGGAAUUGGACCAGAUGACCUCUCGUUUUCCACCUCCUUUCUCUUAUUUUGUUUAUUCAAAAUUAUACUACACUGGAUUUAUCUGCUUCAAAGGCAUUUUCAAUCUUGCUGCAGAAUGACACGCCAGACAUUGUCCUUUGAUUGGCGUCUCAGCAGACCAGGAGUCAUGGAGCAGGUUGGCGUUCCCUUCGAAGGACAUGUGCGGAGACUGGCAAAAGUGAAAGUCCCAGAUUCCCCUGCAUCCCUAGGGUCUGGCGAGGACCGUGCUUGAACAGGGGGCUGUCUGGCUCAGAGCUGAAGCCAUGCCCCAGCCCAGAGUUGGAGAGUCCACACCCAUCUCAGGGUGCGCAUAGGUGGGACCUGGCCUGAAGCGGGGUGCCCACCUGUGGACAGCACUGGGUGUGAGCUCUGCGGACAUAGGGGUUUGGUGUGGGUAGGUGGGCCCUAGCCCUGUGCUCACAAGAAGAGGGACGUGAUCCCUUCUUCAGGGGUGCCCUUUGGGAAGCUACAGGGCCACCUGGGAACUCGGGGUCCACCUUGCCUUUGCCUUUGGGUACCUGUGGGACCCCAUGUGCCACGGUGACCCCUGAUGGAGUCCACUGUGGCCCAUCUGGGGAGGCAGAGGCUUCCUUCCUUCCUCACUUGACUGAGAGGAAAGGCACGGGGCAAAGGAGCUCCCUCAUCCUCUCCCCACUUUUCCCCCUCAACUCCCCUGACCCUGGACACCUGUUCAGCCUGUGAUGGGAAUAGAAAGUUCUUUAUGGGAGGUGCAUCAGGGUCCUUCCUGGCAGCCCCCCUGCCCACACGUCCCUCUCUCCUGGAUGGUGGGCUUCCAUGCACGGCCAUCUUGCUAUUCUGUUUUGUACCCCAGUGCCUUCAUCUCAGGGCACACAGUAGGGACUCGAUAAAUACACCUGAAUGAAUGAAUCACUGCACUAGAGGUAAGGUGUCAUUCUGCUGCUUCUAUGGGAAAAGCCACGUUUAAGUGUGGAAAUGAGGUAAAACUUAAGCUACAAACCAGAAAUAUCUCCAUAGGCAUUUUCAGAGCUUUGGCCCUUCUGUGGACACCCCACCCCCUCCCCAAAGUCACAGCCGACAGGGAGUGAGAAGGAGACAGUAGAGCGGUGGAGGGGGCAGCAGAUACUCUUCAGAAACAGAUAUGCGGUGGCUCGGGAUGGAGCCAUACCUGCCAUCAGACACAGCAACAAUUGUGCCCGCGGUAAAGGGGAUGGAGCCCUCUAUCCACCUAGAUCUCUCUGGAUGGCCCUACGCCUGUGGUAGCCUUCUGGGAAUUCAGGGGCCCCCAGACUCACAUCCAACACUGAGUCCAAAACCAGAGGUCUGUGGAUAAGAGGAAUGAAGAGCUGACCCUCUGGGGACUAUAGGGGCAG